AGCGAACGCUGGCGGCAGGCCUAACACAUGCAAGUCGAACGGGCUCUUCGGAGCUAGUGGCGGACGGGUGAGUAACACGUGGGAACGUGCCUUUAGGUUCGGAAUAAGCCCGGGAAACUGGGUCUAAUACCGGAUGUGCCCUUCGGGGGAAAGAUUUAUCGCCUUUAGAGCGGCCCGCGUCUGAUUAGCUAGUUGGUGGUGUAAUGGACCACCAAGGCGAGGAUCAGUAGCUGGGCUGAGAGGAUGAUCAGCCACAUUGGGACUGAGACACGGCCCAAACGCCUACGGGAGGCAGCAGUGGGGAAUCUUGCGCAAUGGGCGAAAGCCCGACGCAGCCAUGCCGCGUGAAUGAUGAAGGUCUUAGGAUUGUAAAAUUCUUUCACCGGGGACGAUAAUGACGGUACCCGGAGAAGAAGCCCCGGCUAACUUCGUGCCAGCCGCCGCUGUAACAC
rnacentral:rRNA from 1 species